CCCCGGUCGUGAUGGCGCCCAACACAUUGCUAGGCAAGCCUGACCAACAAUCAAUCUCAACCCUUUUCUUUUUAAAUUUCGUUACCAGUUAACAGUGUUUCAAUACCAAUUUAACAUAAUAUAAGUCUGAAAACAGUAGAUUAAAUGUGCAGAAGUCAUAAUAAUAUCGCCACAUAGCCCACUGAUCCAGUGACACAAGUUUGAGCCUCUAAUACCAGUUUAUCAACCUAAUACAUAUCAAUCUAGGGAAUGCGGAUAAAAACAAAGGAUAGAAAGGAGAGAUCAGGGCUGCGGACGCCAUGCAGCUACCUCGAUACUCCCGGAUAUGCGCUGCUCAACCUUAGAUGCACCUGGAUCUGCACGCAAGGUGCAGGGAGUAAUGUGAGUACUCCGACCCAGUGAGUAAUAAACAUAAAUAAUGACUGAGAAUAAGAAAUCACGGAGAAUCACAGAGUAAUCUAUAAUGCGGCAGUUCAAAACAAGUAAUAUGAAACAAUAAAACAAUGAAAACAAAAUAUGAUAAUUAUACAACAAAUAAGCAGUUAAGUGACAGACAUAUAAAGGAAAUCAACACAUAGAACGGUACCCUGUAGUACCCGCUGCGGCACACAGCCCGAUCUAUUUAUUUAUCGUCGAUGGCGCUCACUGGGGUGUGCAGACUCCGGGAGGGGCCCCUUACGGCCCAAGCACAAUAUCAAGCCAUCUCGUGGCAUCAAAUCUAGGCCUGCGGCCUCAUAUCAAUAUCAGUAUAACACUGUUGCGGCGCGCAACCCGAUCCCAUAGUAUCCUCACAUCUGGCCCUUGGCCGUACUCAGUCUAGAAAUCAUAUAAGUUCUUUGGGCAUUAGUAAAACAAUAGUUCUCUGCCCGAAACAUCAUUUAAUAUAUCAUUUUAGUUUCAAAACCGAGUAAAAAGUGGCUGAGUUGUAAAAUAGUGGAAAAACGAUACGACUGAGUUCAAGUAGUAAGUCAAAAUAGUGAUAAAAUAAUGAUAAAAAUCCCCGGAGGGUCCAAAUAGUUGGCACGUAGCCCAAAUAUGACAAUUAGUCCAAAUAAUGAUGAUAACAAAUAAGCUUCAAUCAAAUACGUGGUAAAAGCAUCACUCGGGACGGACCAAGUCAUAAUCCCUAAUAGUAAACGAUCCCACGCUCAUCAUUAAGCACGUGUCUCACCUCAAUAUAGCACUACGAUGUGCAAAUUCGGGGUUUCAAACCCUCAGGACAUCAUUUACAUUCAUUACUCACCUCGAACCGGGAAAAACUCUAGCUCGUGACGCCUUUGCCUCUCAAAUCGGCCUCCUCGCGCGUCGAAUCUGACCAAAACCAGAACGAACACGUCACAAUAUGCUAAGGGAAUAUAACCCAAACGAAAACAAUCAAAAAAUAUCAAAAAUCUCGAAAUUAACAAAACCCGAGCCCCGAGUCCACUUCUCAAAACUCAGAAAUUUUCACAUCAUUAGAUUCCUUAUCACCCCACAAGUUCAUACAUACCAAAAGUUCUCAAUUCCGACCUCAAAUGGUCCCUCAAAUCCCUAUUCAAAAGUUCAAAGUCUCAAGCCCUAGUUCUUCCAAUUUUAACUUAAAUUCCAUGAAUUUCUAGGUUAAAAUCACAAUAGAAUCACGUUUUUUGGUUCAUAAAACUUACCUCCAAUCAAUUCUCCUUGAAUCCCUAUUCAAUCUCCCUCAAAGAGCUCUCAAAAUGUCAACUAUGGUGAAAAAAUGGCUCAAAAUCGCGGAGGAAAUGUCUUAUAAACUUUCUGCCCAGUUCUGAUAUUCCUUCUUCGCGAACGCGGUCAACGUCUCGCGUUCGCGAAGCACAAACUUACAUUGACCAAUUUUUGCCCUACUUGAACGCGUCACACCAAUCGCGAACGCGAUGCUUCUGCCUCCUACACCUUCGAGAACGCGACAACCUUACGCGAACGCGAUGAACAAAAUGCCUUGGACCCCAAUUUGCUCUACACGAUCGCGAGUGCCUUCUCGCGAAUGCGAUGCACUGCUUCCCAUCCUUUCGCGAAUGCGAGGCAUCUCUCGCGAACACAAAGGCUUAAUUUUGGUCUUCCUCAAAUCCUUCUACGCGAACGCGACAUACCCCUCGCGAACGCGAAGGGUUAUUUUCUGCAACACCUGACUCCCAAAAUCUGCAACUUUUCAACUUAGAAAAUGGUCCGAUUGACCACCCGAAACUCACCCGAGACCCCCGAGACCUCAACCAAGAGCACCAACAUGUCCUAAAACCUCAUUCAAACUUGUUCCAAUCAUCAAAACACCUCAAACAACACCAAAACCAUCAAUUCUCAUUGAAUUCAAGCCUAAGUUUCUAAAAACUUCCGAAAUACGCUUUUGAUCAAAAACCCAACUAAACCACAUCCAAAUGACCUGAAAUUUUGCACACACAUCCCAAAUCAUAUAACAAAGCCACAACAACUCUCAGAAUUCCGUUCCGACCCUCGAAUCAAAAUCUCACCUAUCAAUCGGAAAUCACCAAAAUAUUAACUUCGCCAAUUCAAGCCUAAUUCUACACCGGGCCUCCAAAAUCACUUCCGAUCACAC
rnacentral:lncRNA from 1 species